UAAAUGCAAAUAUUUCAAAGAACACAGAGGCAAAAAAAAGAAAUAACAAAUUAUUUUAUACUUGUUGGACACGACAUUGCUUUAUGGUAUCCCAACGUAUGGAAAGUAUGUAAGAAGUUCAAUCGUCUAAAGAGGGUACAACAAAAAGAAAAUCACGACGGCGACGUCAUUGUGGAGGCCGACGGGUGGUGGCUCGCGGCGACCCGUCUUCUUGUAGUGCUGCUCGGCGCCAUCGUCGGAUCAGCAGGUCGAUCCUUCUGUGCCGCCAAUGCAGGAACUCCCGGGAAUCGGUGCUGGGAGCUGGUGAAUCGCGGUCGAUGUCUGGUUGAUGUUGAGGGUCGUUCGGUGAUACGGCAGGUGUUGAUGCUGGCAUCCCAGCUCUUGCCCCGGGGAUGGUGAUUACGAGGAUGUCUCGUCCGCUUCCGUCCAAUAAAGUCAUUCGACCAUUCCAUCAGUAAA